GACAGAGGCCCCGAGCGUUAGGCGGAAUCACUGGGCUUAAAGCGCGUGUAGGCGGAGGGCUAAGUACCUUGUGAAAUCCCAGGGCUCAACCCUGGAACUGCCGUUGAUACUGCCGGGCUUGAGUUCGGUCGAGGCGGGCGGAACUGGUGGUGUAGCGGUGAAAUGCAUAGAUACCACCAAGAACCCCGAUUGCGAAGGCAGCUCGCUGGGCCGAAACUGACGCUGAGGCACGAAAGCGUGGGGAGCGAACAGG
rnacentral:rRNA from 1 species